rnacentral:rRNA from 1 species
GACGAAGGUGGCAAGCGUUGUUCGGAUUCACUGGGCAUAAAGGGCGCGUAGGCGGUUCCGAAAGUGGCAUGUGAAAUCCCCCGGCUCAACCGGGGAAGUGCGUGCCAAACUUCGGUGCUAGAGGGCGGUAGGGGGGACUGGAACUCUCGGUGGAGCGGUGAAAUGCGUAGAUAUCGAGAGGAACACCGGUGGCGAAGGCGGCCCCCUGGUUGGAUACUGACGCUGAGACGCGAAAGCGUGGGGAGCAAACAGG